rnacentral:lncRNA from 1 species
UUUAUUUCUCCCUCAGAUUUCAGAUGAACUCAGAAGGCCAGGGAACAGAGGUCAGCUCUAUCUCCAGAUGCUAUGCUUAGCACAAUCACUUCUUUCCUUAUUGCCGCAGAAAGUGACUCCCCACAGGCCUAUGCUUAUUUGUCGUAAAUAUCUGGAGUUAUCCCAUACCCAUUUUUUCUAUGCUGAGGAAAAAGAAACAUUCAAACAAAUCCACCUGCUUACGGAGAUGUAUGUUACAAUCUGUUUUGGCCAGAUGGUCAUUUGUUGGAAAAUUCUGUUGGUACUGUGUGGAAGAACACAGGGCAGAAAGACAUAAAAUUGAUUUGUUGAGUGGCUGUGGUGGCCCAGGCACAAAGAUGUGUUUGGAGGACAGAACAGAACAAGAUCUAUGUGGUCCCUGCCCUCAGAGAACUCCCAGACCAGCUAGAAAACAAGAUGAUUCAAGGACUAAGGAAUUGUGGUUCAUGCUAUUUCUGUGCAAAGCCAAGUCUAUUGUUGAGAGAACAAGAAGCACCAGUUUCCACUUGAGGUGAGACUGGAGAUCUUUUCCUUUGUAGCAGUGGUGCUUAGAAUCACAGGAAGGCAGCUAUGUGUUCCAUGACGGGGACUGGGUCUCCAGCAGGGCUGGCUUCAAUUCCAAGUGGUUCAUUUAAGGGUGCCUUUAACUGAACUGAAUCUCAUCUUUAAAACCUGCCGGUCAGAGGUGGGAACAUUCAGUUCAGCAAGCCCUGAUAAUAGCUAUGAUGGGGCUAACUUAAUAGCCCAUGCUGCCUGUUAGAGUGGAAGGGAUGAUAGAGAUUCACUUCCCUUGCCAUUCGGUACUAGAAUCUCUUGUUUCUCUCUUUCUGAAGCCAGGCUUUCAUGUGUAGGCUGUAUCACUUUGGAACAUCUUUCAAAUGCAGAUUCUGCUUGGGUAGAUCUGGAGUGAGGCCCUGAAAUGAUUUCCUAACUAGCUCCCAGGAGAUGCCAAUGCUGCCGGCUCAUGGGCCACACUAGGAGUUGCAAGGCUUUCGCUGGGACUAUGUCUCACUCGAAUUUCAAUCCCAACUGAUGGCUGGUAUUCAGACCUUUGAGUGCCUGCCACCGAGAUGAGCUUGGGGACUUGCUCGAGGGUACAGAGCCAGAAUGGAGAAAGUGCAACAGGGCCCUUUUCCACUAACACCUCCGAAGGCAGCAGUUAGGGUCCUGAGAAGUCAGCACCUAGCAGACACCAUACAGGUACUGGACUCCUGGGAAAUGCGGAGUCUAGGCUGCGUGGUAAUUCUGUCUCCAGGGAAGCUUUAGUAAAAACAAACAAAACUCAUGUUUUGUGUGUUUUGCUUUUCUCCCCAUCCCAAUGAUUCUCCACUGCCUUAUAUGCAAAAUAUUUCCUGCCUGAGGAUUAGGAUUCGGUUGCUGAGAGUUAAAACUCUACUUUUCCCCUAUCAAGACAAAAAAGCUAAAACUCCCCCUUUAAAAAUACAAACUGCUUUUUGCUAUAGAAAUGUUCAAGACAGCCUGUAAUCCCAGUGCUUUGGGAGGCCAAGUGGAAGGAAUGCUUUGAGGCCAGGAGUUCAAGACCAGCCUGGGCAACAUAGCUAGACCCCGUGUCUACAAAAAAAAUUUUUUUUAAUUCGGCAUAGUGGCAACAUGCCUAGAGUCCUAGAUACUUAGGAGGCUGAGGCAGCAGGAUCACUUAAGCCCAGGAGUUCAAGGCGGUAGUGAACUAAAGCACACUACUGCAGUCCAGCCUGGGCAACAGAGCAAGACUGUUUGUUAAAAAAAAAAAAAAAUCAGGACAGCAUGAAAAAACUCCUGCAUCACUCCAGGAUCCACGUUUGGCCUGAGGGUCAUUCUCUGCCACAGCAAGUCUCAGGAGUUGCUGCUGUGGGUAAGAAUUGAUCCUAAACUUGUCCUAAACUUACCACUGACCAGCCCAGCAACUGCCCCGCAGAGAACACACUGAAAGCAUUUCUGUCUUGCAUCAAGCCCUUCUGACCUGCCAGAC